GAUGAACGCUGGCGGCGUGCCUAAUACAUGCAAGUCGAGCGAACGGACGAGAGGCUUGCUUCUCUGAUGUUAGCGGCGGACGGGUGAGUAACACGUGGAUAACCUACCUAUAAGACUGGGAUAACUUCGGGAAACCGUAGCUAAUACCGGAUAAUAUUUUGAACCGCAUGGUUCAAAAGUGAAAGACGGUCUUGCUGUCACUUAUAGAUGGAUCCGCGCUGCAUUAGCUAGUUGGUAAGGUAACGGCUUACCAAGGCAACGAUGCAUAGCCGACCUGAGAGGGUGAUCGGCCACACUGGAACUGAGACACGGUCCAGACUCCUACGGGAGGCAGCAGUAGGGAAUCUUCCGCAAUGGGCGAAAGCCUGACGGAGCAACGCCGCGUGAGUGAUGAAGGUCUUCGGAUCGUAAAACUCUGUUAUUAGGGAAGAACAUAUGUGUAAGUAACUGUGCACAUCUUGACGGUACCUAAUCAGAAAGCCACAGCUAACUACGUG
rnacentral:rRNA from 1 species